rnacentral:lncRNA from 1 species
GGUGCAUCCUACUCAAAAUAGUGAAUCUGAACCCACUGUAGCCAACAUACACUGCAAAAAUCCAAAUGACUAAGAGUCCAAGUUUAUCUGCAGUCAAACUACAGUAGCCUCAUUGCAAAUAGCCGAGGCACUCAAGUCAAAGGACCACUCAUACCACUAUAACAUCGAGCAAACUACUGAUCAGUGAGUAGACAUUCAAGUGAUUGCUCGUAUUGAUCACGCUCAGUAUAAGUUGUUCUCUAACAACUACUUAUAUUCUCACCCCAGUAUCCCCACACC